rfam:Felis catus isolate Cinnamon breed Abyssinian chromosome B4, whole genome shotgun sequence.
GCCUGGGUGGCUCAGUCAGUUGAGUGUCUGACUUCGGCUCAGGUCAUGAUCUUGUGAUUUGUGGGUUCAAGCCCCACAUCAGGCU